AUGGCGGCUCGGCCCCCACCGCCUACUCCGCCUCUCCCGUCGCCUCCACGCCUCCGCCGGCCCCGGCUCCGGCGCCGGCGAAGGCAAAUUGCUUCUACCCGGCGUCUCCAGAUCGAUACUAAGCAUGGACAAGUCUGCCUGAUCCCAAUCAAAAUAGUGUGUCUGUCACCAAGUUAUUGUCUCAUUUUUCUAGCGAUUGGUAUAUGGCUCAGGGUCAUGUACAAAGUCUCAGAUGUAUGGAUGUGUUGUUGCUGGAUUUGUUUCGUGGUGAAUCUCAGGCAACCCUUCACAAAGCUUCUACAUUACUCGUUGCCUUCCAACAACUUUGGCUAA
rnacentral:rRNA from 1 species